rnacentral:rRNA from 1 species
AAACCAGGAAAUAGCUGGUUCUCCGCGAAAUCUAUUGAGGUAGAUCGUCAUCUGAAUACCGCCGGAGGUAGAGCACCGGAUGGGCGUAGGGGGACCCAAAGUCCUACAAACCCAACCGAACUCCGAAUGCCGGCGAGUACUGGGUGGCAGACAGACAGCGGGUGCUAAGGUCCGUUGUCGAGAGGGAAACAGCCCAGACCACCAGCUAAGGCCCCUAAUUCGUGGCUAAGUGGGAAAGCAUGUGGGACGGCCAAAACAACCAGGAGGUUGGCUUAGAAGCAGCCAUCCUUUAAAGAAAGCGUAAUAGCUCACUGGUCUAAUCAAGCUGUUCUGCGGCGAAAAUGUAACGGGGCUCAAGCCACGAGCCGAAGCUGUGGGUGCGCAGAAAUGCGUGCGGUAGCGGAGCGUUCCCUAGGCCGUCGAAGCGGUAUCCGUGAGGGGCCGUGGAGGUAUGGGAAGUGCGAAUGCGGAC